GCGGGGAUGGUGUAGCUGGUUAUCACGUCAGUCUAACAUAUGGACUCCUGAGGAGGACGAUGUUGUGCACUGAAGGUCCCGAGUUCAAACCUCGGUUCCCGUA